UACGUAGGUGGCAAGCGUUGUCCGGAAUUAUUGGGCGUAAGCGCGCGCAGGCGGUCCUUUAAGUCUGAUGUGAAAGCCCACGGCUCAACCGUGGAGGGUCCAUUGGAAACUGGGGGACUUUGAGUGCAGGAGAGAAGAGUGGGAAUUCCACGUGUAGCGGUGAAAUGCGUAGAGAUGUGGAGGAACACCAGUGGCGAAAGGCGACUCUUUGGCCUG
rnacentral:rRNA from 1 species